rnacentral:rRNA from 1 species
AUUGAACGCUGGCGGCAGGCCUAACACAUGCAAGUCGAGCGGAUGAAGGGAGCUUGCUCCUGGAUUCAGCGGCGGACGGGUGAGUAAUGCCUAGGAAUCUGCCUGGUAGUGGGGGAUAACGUCCGGAAACGGGCGCUAAUACCGCAUACGUCCUGAGGGAGAAAGCGGGGGAUCUUCGGACCUCACGCUAUCAGAUGAGCCUAAGUCGGAUUAGCUAGUUGGUGGGGUAAAGGCCUACCAAGGCGACGAUCCGUAACUGGUCUGAGAGGAUGAUCAGUCACACUGGAACUGAGACACGGUCCAGACUCCUACGGGAGGCAGCAGUGGGGAAUAUUGGACAAUGGGCGAAAGCCUGAUCCAGCCAUGCCGCGUGUGUGAAGAAGGUCUUCGGAUUGUAAAGCACUUUAAGUUGGGAGGAAGGGCAGUAAGUUAAUACCUUGCUGUUUUGACGUUACCAACAGAAUAAGCACCGGCUAACUUCGUG